CACGAGACAAUAAUUCCCCGCCUGAGGCGGCUGCCUUGCUCGCGCUUCUAAUCCGCCGGCACUUUGCGCGGCAGUGAAAAAAAGCCGGGGAAAAAAGCUGAAAAAGAAGAAAAACAAACAUUGGCAAAGACUCGACUGACAAUUGACGCUAGACGUCAUUGGAUGACCGAAGAUGGCAAGAGAAAUCGAACACGGUGUAGCCGUUACUGAGAGCACGAACAAUUCCUAUUAUGAUUAACGCCUGGAAAGUUGUAGCAGGAUCGGUGUCGUGUGAGGACUUUCUGAAAAGAAUUAUACUGACUACACUUUCUUUCUAAACUCCAUGCAAAAGUACAAUGUACUUGCGCUGGGCGGUGCUUGACAUCAAUUCUACAGGAAGUGGCUGAUAUAAAUUCCGGAAGCGGAACAAUUUACAAUAUGGCGUAACGCAGCUAUCCAGGAAUAAUCAGAUCAAUUUAUUUCCGGUGGUUUCUUUGAAAGAAGCGUGCCUUUUCAUGAAAGAGCCUUUUCAUGCGGUCAUACCUAAAAAAAGGAUCCAAGCAGUCGUACCAACAUGUAAGCAAAAAUAUGUACUACAUAUAAAAUUUUUGAGUCUUUCAAAAUAUUAAAAAAUUUCAUUUAUCAACAUUUAAUAAUAAGAAAUGUAAAAAUUCAAAAAUCGGUCAAGAACCGAAUACAAGUAAUUCUUUUCGAAUAAUCCUCGGAACGAUGCACUAAUGGUGUCCGAGGGCUAUCACGAAGACACAAAAUUCCGCGGGCGACGAUUUCGAAGUAUCCAAUAAGAAGGUGGAGGAUAAGGAACGUGAAGAGCAGAGGUACCAAAUGGGGUUUCCAGUUCCAGUGAAGUUCCUCGUAGAAUUCCUACGAGAUUACAAAUGAAGUUAAAGAAAAAUCGUGUGAGCCCCCAAGCAUUUUCUCGAGUGUCUUUCUCCGCGUGUAAUGCCCAUUUACCUCAAGGCAGCGUCCAGAGUUCGCGAUUUAAUUAACAGGCCCAAAGGAUCAGUGCAGCGACCAAAGCCAUCGUAACAACUUAAUGGAGGCCUCUUUUACGUCGGAGUCACAAAAAUUACAGUCGUAAAAGGCAUUGCCAUUCCGAGCCGUGUAAUAUGGCAGUGAGCAAGCAUGCAGAAAAGGGUAAAAUUCCUAGAUAUAUAAUUUUUUCAAAAUUGGACAAGAAAUAGUUUACUCACGCAUAACCUCUAUAAGGUAUUACGUUAAAGUCCGGCAAGAGACACACUUAUGACAUUAUACAUGUAUCAUCCACUAAUCAAGUACGUAACGUAAAUCAGCAACCUAACCUAAGAAAAUCAUGUUGCAAUUAAAACGCGACAACGUAACCAAGAAAUCACCAAGUUUAAUCGCCCUUUGCGAAAUUGAUCGUACGACUGAUUUCUGAAAAUAUCACAGAGCCGUCAUGGCGCUAUCUGAAUAUUUUCCCACAAUCACAUACGUACAUAAUGUCCACACGAAGCGACGCGAUAUCCCUGCAAUCGCAUUAUGCAUACGUGCUACACAUAUAUACUCGGCAACGUAGUUUAUAUGCAUAUAGAACGUGUCAUAGAAACGCACUGAAGAUAAACUCAUAAAAGAACACAAGAGGUUAACUCGGGCCGAUCUCAAGCACAACUAACAGUGGCAAUUAACUCGGCGAGUAUGUCCUGCUCCAGGACUUGAUUUACGUGCAGGCAUUGCAGUUGACGUGAGUGCAAGGGAGAAAGCUGUGGAAACCAACAAGAAGAAAUAAGGAUUGAUAAGAGAUAAAUGAAAAAAGAAUUUAAAAAACAUAUUUUUCCUGAAAACAUAACCUCACCAUUGAAAAGUUACAGAGUCUCUUUAGGUGUUAAGAACUUAUCGGUGCUACUGACAGUCAUUAAUAUAGUAUUGUGAGCCCUCGACUACCUGGUGUGUUGAAGCCCUUCUUCAGUUUAAUGAUCCUAGCCAGGGUGAGGAUCAUAUAUGCCACUGGAAUAGUGUAGAUGCAUUGUCAGAUAGAUCAUAAAUCAUGGAACGUUCAAGGAACACGAUGAUUUCACCUUGGCAAUGAUCCAGGAAACGAGAAGAUGGUCCAUCGGUGUCACAAGGAUUCACGUGUGACCGUCACUUUUGCGUACAAAGAUCCUUAAUGCCAGCGCAGUCGGACACGGACGUUUCUAUUCAGUCGGAAUGGCCGACGGCUUGCGGUAACGCAAGUGCAAGUGCAGCGCACGGGACAGGGACGGCGCAGCACGAUGCGGCUGGACCGUUGCGCACGGUUAGAUCUUGAAAGGGAUGCUGCUCUUGCGAGUUCAUAAGUUAAGCGUUCUUCCUCAUCCUUGGGCUUUGAUGCACCAGCCACCAUAAUGGAAGAUUUAUCGUGAUAUCAUACGACUUAGCGAUAAUUUGUCAUCUCAGAAUUUUCACGUCGAUUCAAAAGAAAGCGUGGACGAACUUUUUUUAUCUUAUAAAAAAAUGUGUUAUAUAAAUGCAGUUAUGGCUUUCUAUAUACGAAUUCGUUGUACAGUAUGUGAUUCUGGUGAAGAUAAUAUUGUAGCUGUCACGUGUCUUUUAUACAGUCGUUUAUAUUAUUGCGUGUAUAUGUGAUUAGGAAACAGUUAGGCGAGUCUUUGUAGAUUGUGGAUGCGGCUUGUUGAUGAUUUUAUAAGCAAAUUUUCGAGUGCAUUGGAGAUGAAUGCUUCUGCCUUGGUAGCUUAUUGAUAUUCUCACCCGAGGCAGAGCGAUUUUUAUAAAUAAUGAUGAUGCACCAGGUGCCGUCCAUUGGGAUGUAGGACCGCUCCCAGCAUCCCGGCGUCUUAGCAUCCCAAUAUCGAAUACAAUCAAAGGCCGAUCGAGCACAAUGCAGACGAUUCACUGUUACAACUCUCAUUAUAAUUUUGCGUGAGGGACGAGUUCGAAUAAUAAUUAUUAAAAGGGUUCACAGUCGGGCCCGUUUAAACGUCACUUUUACAUCCAAACGAAAUUCCAGGAAGUAUUAUAAAUCUCUUGAUAGAAGAUCGAUCAGACUGAUCUCAAUUUCCAGGAAGCUGUGGACUCCUCUUAUGUUUUGCUUGUCUUAUUUAUCUUGAUAGGAGAGGUAGUGGAAUUUUUAUAAGAUUUAUAUAUGCCACGUCGUAUACGUCUCCCUAUGCUAAUUUGCUUGUCUGAUAUAUUUAUAUUUUUUAUUUUUUAUAGAAACCACCUUAAGACACGCUACCCACGUUUCUCUUGAUACGUUGUGAAACUUUCGUUUCCGCGACUCCAAUGUUCUUCUUGGUGGAGAAUCCAGUGCCGGAAGGAUAUUGCGUAAACGGAAGUGCGUGAGGACUCUUUGUCUCUUGGAGUCUUUGAUGGUAUCCACCUGAGGACUGUAGGGCAGAACAAAAGCCAAGAGAGGAGAAUAGAGAGGAUGUGGAAAAUUAUGAGAGUCGAUCGUUUGACUCGUAAAGGGUCGACUUACUGUAUUACUGCAAUCAGACGUAUUGGAGUUCAAUUACGGAUGUCAGUUUCAACCUUAUGGACUCAUUGAUCAACUGAUUAUUAUUAAUUGAUGUGAUACAGUAAGUAAGAAUAUUUGUAAUUGAAAAUAAUUACAAAAAUAUUGUUUAAGAAAAUUUGUCAUACGGAAGUGAAUACCUCGUACGUAAUAAUAACAUAAUUUAGUGAAAUAUAUUCAGGGAGGUAGCAAAAGAAAGAAGGAAAAGAAAAUGGUCAAAACGCUGAGACUUUGUUGUAUCGAUCGUGACGUUAUAAUUCAGUUCUGUGUUUCCGCCUGGGGAGGAAUCUCUUUGCCAGCCGUGCAAUUACGUCAUGAGAUGCUACAGUUUCCGCAAUGGGGUGUAAAUAUUAAAGGAACAAAGGAAGAAGAAACAGGAGCAGAUUGUACGCAGCUUCACUUCGUCUUCCUUCCAGGAAUCCUUUCAGAUCGAAUCGUCGCUUCCGUGCAUGGGGUUGUCUUCCUUCCUAUAAGAAGUAUCGGGGGUACCGAACGAAGGAAAGGAAAUCGAAAAAUAAAAAAAAUAGAGGAAGCAAGGACUCCUAGCUGAACUAACGGAACGGAUCUGUUCGAUAUCAAUCCUGGAAACAGAUGGGAUCGAUUAAGGCAAUUUAAUCUCAGUAUCCACAUGGUUCUGGAUCCUUGACUUAGCGGGAUCGAAGGAUCAAGGAAAACCCAUUCCCUGAGAAAAGUGUUGUGACUAUUGUUACCCUUAAAUGGAUCUAAUGUGGAUCAUUUAUCCAACCCUGGGUGGUCCACCUGCGAAUAUUGCUUCUGUCGAACCAUGAGGUUAAAAAAUUUUGACUCCGUUUAUAAUUUUUGGAUUUUUCAUUGAAUUUCAUAAAAUCCAUUUUUUUUAUAUACUCCAGAAAUAAACGGUACAAUGUAAAACUGUCGAAAUUAAAUAUUUUGGAAAUUUUAUCGAAUAUUAUAUUUUUCUCUAUAAGUAUAUCGUAUAUGAAGACCACACAGGAGGAUUCAGCACAAUACACAAUAAUGCCAGUCACGAAACCCUCGCGAUUGAACGAUCAAGACGUUCCGCCGGUUAUUAGCGCGAUGAACGGAUUUAAAAGGGACUCCAUUUUGGAGCUGUUAUAACCCGCGACUUCUCUCUAGGGAUUGUUAGCCAUUGUUUGAUCGGGGUUAAAAGUUUCUAAGCGCCCUUAAAAGCCGAGUAAUUCGCUUCCUUCCGCCACCCACGUCGAAGCGCGCCGGCAGCUUGCUGCUUUCUCCGCAGGUCGUUAAACUAAAAAAAAAAAAGAUUAAUAAGGAUCAAAAAAAAUUAACGCCAGACUUAAAAGAAUCCGAAACCCUUUGUAAUUUUCAUUCAUCAAGAGUUGCGUGGUCUUUUCACUUUUUCAAAUUCCCUAUGCUACAGGAAUCUACCUUUUCUUCAGUUUUUUUUUCUCUUCAAGUUAGACAUUUUCGCGGAUUAUCCUUUUCAUUAUGUUCCAAGGUCAUUCUACCUAUUGUAAUAUACACAGUAGUCAGUGGAUACCAAGCCGCAAGGAUUAUAACGCCCUUACAGGCAUUUAUGACUACUUAUUCGUCUCUACCUGCCUUUUAAGGUUUUGCACAAUUAGCCUCGCGCCAUAUUUCACCUAACUUCCAAAUCGGCUGUGGUUACCCAGCGGCAAUGAAUUCCCUAGGUAAUAUUUAAGAAGAUAGCAGCAUAUACAGUUGUAACAAAAAAUACAAUAAAAAUCACGAGAACCAAGUAUGUCCUGUUGGAAUUUAAAUUAGGCAAAUAAAAAAAGACAAAAAUUUCACUGACGCAAAAUCUAUAAAUAGAAAAAACCUGCACGUGCCAAUAAAGAAUUUCGUAACGAUUGUCCUAAAAUAUCCUUGGACGACAAUGCAUCUUUCGUGUAGGCAUUCGGUACAGCAGCUGCAGCUGCAUAUGCACUUAAAACCGAUAAGCAAGUGCACCUGCGCUCAACGAGAGUGAACAAGGUAAUUAAAUUACAUAAGAAAGUGCAACAAGUGUUUGGGUAGAUCAGCGUAUUCAGAAUUUACAAAAUUUCAUAUUUUCAUAAAACAUUUUCUCGCUCAUUGUUAAAAAUGAAAAAAAAAAUAAAAAGUUUACACGAGAAAAUUCAUCAUCACCAAUGACGUUGUACGUUUCAACGAAUAUUCCAAUGAUAUAUUGCCCGGCCACGCCCGGUUUGUUUUCACUUGCAUGGACUGUAAUUAGCAAUCAGUACGUAAUUGCAAUUACCUGGUAGAGUUAAUUGUUUAAGAGAUUUAAGAGACGCCGCGAUCUAGAUUGAGCCAAGUCGGCAGUCUAACAGAAGACCAUAAUAUAUAUAUACAACAUAAAAAGAAAAGUGAAUCGACACGAGUAAACCAAAGACUGUGAACGAAGCCUUAAAGGUUCUAAAAGUCACUACCUGUUCUAUCUGAAGAAACAACAACAACAGCUACAAUACAAAACAGCUUGUUUCAUGGAAACACGACCAGAGAAUAAAAAUGGGAGUCGGAUACCUGGAGUGAAGUAAAAUAGAAAAUGAAUCUGCAGGCUAUGGAUCUAUUCAAAAGUUGAAGAUGAUUUAAUUGGUUGAUGCGAUUUUGAAAAACCUAUGGAUUUUAUUGUAUCGUCAAGACUUUAAUAUACUGGGUGUUUCAUAAUGGGUGGUCGAAUAAGGAUAUAUAUUAUGUAUAUCCAAUUACACAUAUCUGUACACAUUGAACAUAUAUUAUAUACAUGACGUAUCCUUGUGCAAUAGUAAAUGAAAUAUUCGCAGUAAGUAAAGAA